UGACGGGUGAGUAAUGUCUGGGAAACUGCCUGAUGGAGGGGGAUAACUACUGGAAACGGUAGCUAAUACCGCAUAACGUCGCAAGACCAAAGAGGGGGACCUUCGGGCCUCUUGCCAUCAGAUGUGCCCAGAUUGGAUUAGCUAGUAGGUGGGGUAACGGCUCACCUAGGCGACGAUCCCUAGCUGGUCUGAGAGGAUGACCAGCCACACUGGAACUGAUACACGGUCCAG
rnacentral:rRNA from 1 species